AUUAGACCGCCGAAUUCACAAAGAUUUUCAAUUUAUUUUUAAAAAGCUUAUAAUUUUUAAAAUAGUCACAAGUAUUUAAAGUUUUCAUACCUCUUACUUAAAUUAGAUCUAUUUUAAUGGGAUAUCUUUCUCUCUCUUAACAAAUCCUUAUCUUUGAGAGAGAUGCACCGGAAAUCUCCUCCAGUGAUAUUCGGUUUUUGUUUGUUUAUAACUUCUAACUUUCGUCGGAUCUGUUUUUCCGUUUUGUAGGAUUUAAUAAUCUCUCAUUUAGUUUGUUGGUUUCUUUUUGUUUUGUUUUUUCCUCUUUCUAUAGGAUUUCAUCUCAAAUCAUGUUGGGUGUCGGUUGAUAUCUCAUAUUUCAACCAUCAACUUGAUUCUUCUCAAAGAUUGGAGUAAUAUCUUAACCAUUUUAUCUUCGAUGUAUUGCGAAGUGCAAAUCCGCUAAACUGUUGAUUUGAGUUUCGCAAAACAAAUCAAUAGUUUAGGAGAUUUGAAAAACAUGUAUUCAACUUAACAGUGCCACGUAUAAAGAUGAAGUGCCACGUAUUCAUCUUUAUAAACAAAU
rnacentral:sRNA from 1 species